rnacentral:rRNA from 1 species
UACAGAGGGUGCAAGCGUUAAUCAGAAUUACUGGGCGUAAAGCGCGCGUAGGUGGUUUGUUAAGUUGGAUGUGAAAUCCCCGGGCUCAACCUGGGAACUGCAUUCAAAACUGACUGACUAGAGUAUGGUAGAGGGUGGUGGAAUUUCCUGUGUAGCGGUGAAAUGCGUAGAUAUAGGAAGGAACACCAGUGGCGAAGGCGACCACCUGGACUAAUACUGACACUGAGGUGCGAAAGCGUGGGGAGCAAACAGG